rnacentral:rRNA from 1 species
UGGGGAAUAUUGCACAAUGGGGGAAACCCUGAUGCAGCGACGCCGCGUGAGCGAAGAAGUAUUUCGGUAUGUAAAGCUCUAUCAGCAGGGAAGAAAAAAUGACGGUACCUGACUAAGAAGCACCGGCUAACUACGUGCC